CCUGUAGUGGGGGGAUAGCCCGGCGAAAGCCGGAUUAAUACCGCAUACGAUUACGGAUGAAAGCGGGGGACCUUCGGGCCCGCGCUAUAGGGUUGGCCGAUGGCUGAUUAGCUAGUUGGGGGGGUAAAGGCCCACCAAGGCGACGAACAGUAGCUGGUCUGAGAGGACGACCAGCCACACUGGGACUGAGACACGGCCCAGACUUCCUACGGGAGGCAGCAGUGGGGAAUUUUGGACAAUGGGCGAAAGCCUGAUCCAGCAAUGCCGCGUGUGUGAAGAAGGCCUUCGGGUUGUAAAGCACUUUUGUCCGGAAAGAAAUCCUGAGGGCUAAUAUCCUUCGGGGAUGACGGUACCGGAAGAAUAAGCACCGGCUAACUACGUGCCAGCAGCCGCGGUAAUACGUAGGGUGCGAGCGUUAAUCGGAAUUACUGGGCGUAAAGCGUGCGCAGGCGGUUUGUUAAGACCGAUGUGAAAUCCCCGGGCUCAACCUGGGAACUGCUUGGUGACUGGCAAGCUAGAUAUGGCAGAGGGGGGUAGAAUUCCACGUGUAGCAGUGAAUGCGUAGAGAUGUGGAGGAUACCGAUGGCGAAGGCAGCCCCUGGGCCAUACUGACGCUCUGCAC
rnacentral:rRNA from 1 species